UGAUAGUAGUUAAUGAACCUUCAAUUCUGUC
rnacentral:piRNA from 1 species